rnacentral:rRNA from 1 species
CCACCAAACCGACGAUCAGUAGCCGACCUGAGAGGGCAACCGGCCACAUUGGGACUGAGACACGGCCCAAACUCCUACGGGAGGCAGCAGUGGGGAAUAUUGCACAAUAGGGGAAACCCUGAUGCAGCGACGCCGCGUGAGUGAAGAAGUAUUUCGGUAUGUAAAGCUCUAUCAGCAGGGAAGAAGAUGACGGUACCUGACUAAGAAGCACCGGCUAAAUAC